GACGAACGCUGGCGGCGUGCUUAACACAUGCAAGUCGAGCGGUAAGGCCCUUUCGGGGGUACACGAGCGGCGAACGGGUGAGUAACACGUGGGUGACCUGCCCUCAGCUCUGGGAUAAGCCUGGGAAACCGGGUCUAAUACUGGAUAUGACUCCAUGACGCAUGUUGUGGGGUGGAAAGCCUUGUGCGGCUGAGGAUGGGGCCCGCGGCCUAUC
rnacentral:rRNA from 1 species